GUGUAUGAACAUGGUUGUAAAUGAGAAAAUUGUUAUUGUUAUGACUUAUGUAUAUUAUGUGUAUUGUUAUUAUGCCAUAUUUUGGGAUUUUAAGGGUAAUACAGAGUUCGUUCUCAUUGUUUUUCCCCAGAUGUAAGAGUGCCAGUCUUUAGUUGGAUAAAAAACAUUGUCAUACACCCCUUCUCAUAUUUUGUAAUUUGCCGUUCAACUAAGGGAUAUAUUUUGUAACUGCCCAGUGGGCUAUGGUGUGGGACCGAUUAUGAAUUUUGACCCAAUUGUGUAUAGAAGCAUUAAAGACGACCUUCUGAAACUGGAGCGGACCAAUCGUAACGGUGGGACCAAUCAUUGCCCUUGAAAUCUCAACGAUUUUGGUGGAACAGUUAGUAUAUAAAGG
rnacentral:lncRNA from 1 species